UAGCCCUCGGGCACCAUCUCUCACCCCGGACGUGCAUCAGGCUUCCUUCUCCCAGGGGUGAUUAGGCAAGCCUGUGAAUAAUCCAGACCCAGCAGCUGCCAAGUCCCAAAAGGAGCAGACAUUUUACAUCAUGUGCAAAGCCACGUGGGAAAACGUGCUGGCUCGUUUGUUGACUCAAAGUAGAACCAUCCAUUGAAGAUGAGGGAGUCUUAAUUGAGGAGGAAUCACUUACAUCAACCUGGCCAGUCAGAAGAGGGCACCAGACCUCAUUACAGAUGGUUGUG